GGCGGUGUCAGAGGUGUAAUGUUAGACCUGUCAAAUCUACAAGCGGCUGCUGACGUCAUCUAUCGCCAUGGAAUGAACUGAGUCGCAUUAGUAUAAAUUCCAUGCAACCGUGUUACAAGUUCAAACACUGGAAUGUGUGAUGUAAUGUACACUGAUUUAGUCUGAUAAAUCCUUGAUAUUUAAUCAUUUUCAAUGUAACUGUCAUUAUUUCUAUAUAGCCUGCAGUUUCUCGUUCUAAACUUCUAAAGCGGGUGUGGUUUCAUGACUACAAAGGCAGCUCACUGAUUCGACAGCUAUAAUGCAGGAGGUUACACCACAGACAAAAGGGGAAACCCAGAUACGUCACAGGGGGUAUACAUCUGAAGCAUCGUUUAGAACUUAAUGAGACAGCCCCAAGUUUUGCCAAAGUAUGUCGUCUGGUUUUUGGCGUCCCAACGUAGGUAACGUAGCGGGCAAUAGCUAGGGUGGCUAAUACGGGAGCAGCAUUAGCCAUCCUAGCACGAUGGUGUAAUGGGAUUUUAUUAAGACUGGCAUUUUUCCCUUUUGGGGGGGGGCUGCACACCAGUACUUUUGUUGAAGCACAUUUGGCAGCGAUUAUAGCCUUCAGUCUUCUUUGGUAUGACACAACAAGCUUGGAACACCUGUAUUUGAGGAGUUUCUCCUGCCCCCCCUUGGGUUGUGCCAUGGCGGAGAUCGUUGUGGGCUAUACUCGGCCUUGUCUUAGGACGGUAAGUUGGUGGUUGGAGACAUCCCUCUAGUGGUGUGGGGGCUGUGCUUUGGCAAAGUGGGUGGGGUUACAUCCUGCCUGUUUGGCCCUGUCCGGGGGUAUCAUCGGAUGGGGCCACAGUGUCUUCUGAUCCCUCCUGUCUCAGCCGCCAGUAUUUAUGCUGCAGUAGUUUAUGUGUCGGGGGGCUAGGGUCAGUCUGUUACAUCUGGAGUAUUUCUCUUGUCUUAUCCGGUGUCCUGUGUGAAUUUAAAUAUGCUCUCUCUAAUUCUCUCUUUCUGUCUUUCUCUCGGAGGACCUGAGCCCUAGGACCAUGCCUCAGGACAACCUGGUAUGAUGACUCCUUGCUGUCCCCAGUCCACCUGGCCGUGCUGCUGCUCCAGUUUCAACUGUUCUGCCUGCGGCUAUGGAACCCUGACCUGUUCACUGGACGUGCUUGUUGCACCCUCGACAACUACUAUGAUUAUUAUUAUUUGACCAUGCUGGUCAUUUAUGAACAUUUUAACAUCUUGACCAUGUUCUGUUAUAAUAUCCACCCUGCACAGCCAGAAGAGGACUGGCCACCCCUCAUAGCCUGGUUCCUCUCUAGGUUUCUUCCUAGGUUUUUGGCCUUUCUAGGGAGUUUUUCCUAGGGAGUUUUUCCUAGCCACCGUGCUUCUUUCACAUGCUUUGCUUGCUGUUUGGGGUUUUAGGCUGGGUUUCUGUACAGCACUUUGAGAUAUCAGCUGAUGUACGAAGGGCUAUAUAAAUAAAUUUGAUUUGAUUUGAUUCUUCUCUUCAGAUCCACUCAAGCUCUUUCAGGUUGGAUUGGGAGCGUCGCUGCACAGCUAUUUUCCGGACUCUCCAGAGAUGUUGAAUCGGGUUCGCCCUGAGCUCUCUGGAGCAGGUUUUCAUGUACUUUACUCCGUUCAUCAUUCCCUCCCAGUCCCUGCCGCUGAAAAACAUCCCCACAGCAUUAUGCUGCCCCCACCAUGCUUCACCAUAGGGAUGGUGCCAGGUUUCCCACAGACAUGACACUUGGCAUUCAGGCCAAAGAGUUCAAUCUUGGUUUCAUCAGACCAGAGAAUCUUGUUUCUCAUGGUCUGAGAGUCCUUUAGGUGCCUUUUGGCAAACUCCAAGCGGGCUGUCUUGUGCCUUUUACUGAGGAGUGGCCACUCUACCAUAAAGGCCGGAUUGGUAGAGUGCUGCAGAGAUGAUUGUCCUUCUGGAAGGUUCUUCCUCCACAAAGGAACUGUGGAGCUCUGUCAGAAUGACCAUCGGGUUCUUGGUCACCUCCCUAACCAAGGCCCUUCUCCCCCGAUUGCUCAGUUUAGCUGGGCAGCCAGCUCUAGGAAGAGUCUUGGUGGUUCCAAACUUCUUCCAUUUCAGAAUGAUGGAGGCCAUGCACUGUCAACUGUGGG
rnacentral:lncRNA from 1 species